GAAUCCCGUCUUUGACACGGACUGCCAGUGCACCGUGGGUGUGCUCUCGAAGAGUCGAGUUGUUUGGGAAUGCAGCUCAAAAUGGGUGGUAAAUGCCAUCUAAAGCUAAAUAUUGGCGAGAGACCGAUAGCGAACAAGUACCGUGAGGGAAAGAUGAAAAGAACUUUGGAAAGAGAGUUAAACAGUACGUGAAAUUGCUGAAAGGGAAACGCUUGAAGUCAGUCGCGUUGGCCAGAAAUCAGUCUUGCUUUUGCUUGGUGUAUUUUCUGGUCUUUUAAACGGGUCAGCAUCAAUCUUGACCACUGGAUAAAGUCGGUGGGAAUGUGGCAUCUUUGGAUGUGUUAUAGCCUGCUGUCGCAUACGGUGGUUGGGAUUGAGGAACUCAGCACGCCCCCAAAUCUGGCCGGGUUUUGAACCACGUUCGUGCUUAGGAUGCUGGCAUAAUGGCUUUAAUCGACCCGUCUUGAAACACGGACCAAGGAGUCUAACAUGCCUGCGAGUGUUUGGGUGGAAAAACCCAGGCGCGCAAUGAAAGUGAAAGUUGAGAUCUCUGUCAAAGGAGAGCAUUGACGCCCAGACCAGACCUUCUGUGACGGAUCUGCGGUAGAGCAUGUGUGUUGGGACCCGAAAGAUGGUGAACUGUGCCUGAAUAGGGUGAAGCCAGAGGAAACUCUGGUGGAGGCUCGUAGCGAUUCUGACGUGCAAAUCGAUCGUCAAAUUUGGGUAUAGGGGCGAAAGACUAAUCGAACCAUCUAGUAGCUGGU
rnacentral:rRNA from 1 species